UAACCGACAUGUUUUGGUAUCGGUAUCGGUACCUAGUUUGGGUGAAAUUCGGGAUCGGUAUUAGGCGGUAUCGGUAUCGGUUCGGUAUCGGAUACCGAUAUGCUCAUCCCUAUUCAAAAGCACUAAAUGCUAGCAAACGAAACAUCUUUCUUAGUAGACGGGAUCAACUUGAUAAACUCCGCCGCAGCUUUGACAGAAUUGUUAGCGGCAAGGGUGAUGAAUGUAUCCGCCUCAUUGGAGUGUUCACCGCCACCCGCUAAGUCAGAAAGUGCUCUAAUCACAAUGAAUGGCACCCUUUGUUGGUAUGAAAUGAGAGCCACCGCGGCACUUUCCAUCUCCACGGGGCUAAUGUUGAACUUGUCAUAGAUGAAGGUUCUAUAGGCGGCGUUGUCUAGGUAUAUGCUAGCACUUGUUCCUCGUUCUACCGUAGUAACCUUUGGUGGGGUAGAUAAGCAUGUUGUUGUGUUCAAGCAUCCUUCUAAUGUCAACGACUAUAUAUGUUUUAGCUAGAGUGAAAUAACUAGAGUCAACAGGUACCCAAAAUGCGUGUUGUCUCUCCUCCGGUGUUCCAUCAACCGGAAAAAUUUCCUCCGGUUGAUACCAAAUGUUGU
rnacentral:lncRNA from 1 species